UUUUGUCCUCCGUCCUCCUCCCAGGCUCCCACUCCCAACCUCUCCUCCAAUCGUCCCAGGGCCUAACAAGGCGUCAAGACGUCAACCACAGCAAGGGCAACCUGCCAAACACAACAAUCCAUCGAAACCCAGACAAACUCCCUAGUCCCUAAUCCCUCCCGUCCUCUGGAGCCGUCGAGAUGCUCCCUUCCUCCAUUGGCCAAGCUCCCGCCGCGCCGUCUCGCGCCCGCCGCUCGCCGCUCCAAGAGCAUGCCCUGCUUGCUGCUUGCUGCUCCGUUGCCUCGUCUCUGUCUAAUCACCUCACCGCGUCGGCCACCGCGCUGCUGCAAAGAUGCAGUUCUUGAUGCCCCGGACCGGAGGCGGCAAAGGCUGCGGCGGCUUGGCUUGCGCAUGGCCGAGAUGGCCAGGGCUGGGAGCGGCGGGGAGCCGUCGCCGGAGGUCGGGGUUUCCGUGGAGUGUGAGGGGAGGAGUCGCCCGGUCCGGGAAUGGAGGCAAGCCGUCCUCCAACGGCGAGUUUGACGAUUUCUCCUCCUGCACACAGGCACACGCGCUGUGUCGUGAGUCGUGCUGGUGCCUGGUGCAGCUGACGAACUCUGACAGUGCACGGCGGCUGGCCCGCGACACGAGGGAGCUCCACGUUGCCCCUACUGUUCUUCACUCCGGCGACGAAACCUUUUUUUAAGAAAAGGAGAAGCUCCCCGUCCAAGCGUCAGCCUCGUUGGCCACAGCUGCCUGCCGGGACUCCGCGACGUCCUUGGAACGGCGGCCAGCGCCUCCGCUCCGCCACGGCUGAUGUGUCCGUCGAGCCCGAAUGCCCGAUGCGGCGCCUGCGCGAGGGGCUGCGCUCGAUCUGGAGCACGCCCGUCGACACUUGGGACUUGGGAGCGGAUGGCGUGCCUGGGAGCGGUGGUGGCUGGCGAUUUUUGGUCUACUGGUGGCUGGAAUUUGGAGAAAAUGAGGAAGGAAGAUGAGAUAUGGCCAGGAUUGAGGUCUGAGCAUAAUUCUUCGGAGGGUAAAAAGGAAGAACCAAGUUGAACAUUACUUGGUUUGAGGUGUUAGUGUGGGUAUUCUGUUAAGUGUAAUGGCCAUAACAUACAAGGGAUGGAAAAUUGGCUCCGUUUCGUUACUCUCUAGAAUUCCCUAGAACAGACUUUGACCGCUAAUUACGGUGUCGAAUAAAGCCAGUUUACAUAAUCAA